rnacentral:rRNA from 2 species
ACGCACUGGCCCAACUGAUUGAUGGUGCUUGCACCUGAUUGACGAUGGAUCACCAGUGAGUGGCGGACGGGUGAGUAACACGUAGGUAACCUGCCCCGGAGCGGGGGAUAACAUUUGGAAACAGAUGCUAAUACCGCAUAACAACAAAAGCCACAUGGCUUUUGUUUGAAAGAUGGCUUUGGCUAUCACUCUGGGAUGGACCUGCGGUGCAUUAGCUAGUUGGUAAGGUAACGGCUUACCAAGGCGAUGAUGCAUAGCCGAGUUGAGAGACUGAUCGGCCACAAUGGAACUGAGACACGGUCCAUACUCCUACGGGAGGCAGCAGUAGGGAAUCUUCCACAAUGGGCGCAAGCCUGAUGGAGCAACACCGCGUGAGUGAAGAAGGGUUUCGGCUCGUAAAGCUCUGUUGUUGGAGAAGAACGUGCGUGAGAGUAACUGUUCACGCAGUGACGGUAUCCAACCAGAAAGUCACGGCUAACUACGUGCCAGCAGCCGCGGUAAUACGUAGGUGGCAAGCGUUAUCCGGAUUUAUUGGGCGUAAAGCGAGCGCAGGCGGUUGCUUAGGUCUGAUGUGAAAGCCUUCGGCUUAACCGAAGAAGUGCAUCGGAAACCGGGCGACUUGAGUGCAGAAGAGGACAGUGGAACUCCAUGUGUAGCGGUGGAAUGCGUAGAUAUAUGGAAGAACACCAGUGGCGAAGGCGGCUGUCUGGUCUGCAACUGACGCUGAGGCUCGAAAGCAUGGGUAGCGAACAGGAUUAGAUACCCUGGUAGUCCAUGCCGUAAACGAUGAGUGCUA